UACAGAGGGUGCGAGCGUUGUUCGGAAUUAUUGGGCGUAAAGGGCGCGUAGGCGGUGCGGUAAGUCACCUGUGAAAUCUCCUGGCUCAACUGGGAGCUUGCAGGCGAAACUGCCGUGCUGGAGUGUGGGAGAGGUGCGUGGAAUUCCUGGUGUAGCGGUGAAAUGCGUAGAUAUCGUGAGGAAGACCAGUGGCGAAGGCGGGUCUCUGGACAGUUCCUGACACUGAGGCACGAAGGCCAGGGGAGCAAACGGG
rnacentral:rRNA from 1 species